rnacentral:lncRNA from 10 species
CUGGGCUAAAGCCCGAGGCUGGCUGGGAGAAGGCGGAAGCCCGAAUAAAAUCAGUCUCUGUUGGUGAGGAAGAAGGAGGAAAGAGCCAGGCUUAAUCUUGGUCUCUCCUGUCUCUGUGGAAGCCUGAAUUCCCCUCGGUUUAUGAGGUAAAGAAUAGCUGGUCUCCUUCACAUGCUUUCCCGACCCUAUCCUGGAUAAACUGAGGCAGGAAGGCAUCUGCUUUCUACUCCAGUGAUGUUGCGGCCGGGAUGCCUUCUGGGGAACUCGAAUGCUGCAGGCAGAGGGGCUAGUUUCUGAAUUGCUUGUGACAUGUUUGGCUACCAGUGACCAAAGUCCUCUAUGGCUGGCAUUCUUUAGUUUAAAGAAUCGAGGGUGUCUCUUAAACCAGGGAUGAGGGCCUUGGAAACCUUCCAAAAAUUUUU